rnacentral:rRNA from 1 species
AGCAGCCGCGGUAAUUCCAGCUCCAAUAGCGUAUAUUAAAGUUGUUGCAGUUAAAAAGCUCGUAAUUGAAUUUCGGGGUUAGUAGGUUGGUCAUGCCACUGGUAUGUACUGGUCUCACUGAUUCCUCCUUCCUGAUGAGCCGUAAUGCCAUUAAUUUGGUGUUGCGAGGAAUCUGGACUGUUACUUUGAAAAAAUUAGAGUGUUUAAAGCAAGCUAACGCUUGAAUACAUUAGCAUGGAAUAAUGAAAUAGGACGUUCGAUCCUAUUUUGUUGGUUUCUAGGAUUGACGUAAUGAUUAAUAGGGAUAGUUGGGGGCAUUAGUAUUCAAUUGUCAGAGGUGAAAUUCUUGGAUUUAUUGAAGACUAACUACUGCGAAAGCAUUUGCCAAGGAUGUUUUCAUUAAUCAAGAACGAAAGUUAGGGGAUCGAAGACGAUCAGAUACCGUCGUAG